rnacentral:rRNA from 1 species
AUUGAACGCUGGCGGCAGGCCUAACACAUGCAAGUCGAGCGGAUGAAGGGAUCUUGCUCCUGGAUUCAGCGGCGGACGGGUGAGUAAUGCCUAGGAAUCUGCCUGGUAGUGGGGGAUAACGUCCGGAAACGGGCGCUAAUACCGCAUACGUCCUGAGGGAGAAAGUGGGGGAUCUUCGGACCUCACGCUAUCAGAUGAGCCUAGGUCGGAUUAGCUAGUUGGUGGGGUAAAGGCCUACCAAGGCGACGAUCCGUAACUGGUCUGAGAGGAUGAUCAGUCACACUGGAACUGAGACACGGUCCAGACUCCUACGGGAGGCAGCAGUGGGGAAUAUUGGACAAUGGGCGAAAGCCUGAUCCAGCCAUGCCGCGUGUGUGAAGAAGGUCUUCGGAUUGUAAAGCACUUUAAGUUGGGAGGAAGGGCAGUAAGUUAAUACCUUGCUGUUUUGACGUUACCAACAGAAUAAGCAUCGGCUAACUUCGUG